GGUCUUUAAAAGAAAAGAUGUGCAAUAUAGUAACUAUAUCAGUUUAUAGCCUCACUGCUAUUUUAGUAUGUGACAACAGAGGGGAGAGAAGGAAGGAGGAAGGGGGAGCUGAGUCGGCUCUUCUCUUGUUUCCUUUUCCCUAGUGUGUGGACGGGGCACCCAGUUACGGCAGUGUCGGAGAAGGGAGAGGAGACCUUGCGACGACGCCUGGAGGACAUGGAGGUGGAGCCAAGCCAGUCAGGACUGAGGAGUGAGCCACAUCACCAGAGCCAGCUGCUAGAGCCCGGGGGACCCAGAAGUGUGCUAGGGCCCAGGAAGACCUCAUACGCCAGCAUGUCAGCGUCCUGCACAACAUGCUGCAGACUCUGGUGCAGAAGAGUUAACUUUCUCGUCUGACAACUUCAAGCAACAGGAAUGUGCCAAUGGAACAUUUGCAGUCGAAACAUGAAAGGAAAGUUAAGGCAUAUCCAGGUGUCAUUAUCUAUCAGUGUGGGUCCAUGUUCUCAGGGGAGCUGACAAUCUCUGCAGGAUCCUGAGCAAGAUGGAGAAUGGAAAGCCCUGUGCUCCCAGAAGGGGUGGGGCCUCAGGUGAAAAGGAGGGGCUGAGGGCAGCCCAUCCUCCACGUCAUCCAGAGCAUGGUGACUCCCCCUCCCUCAAUGCUCAGAACCACAUGGAGUGCACGGCAUGGCAUUCUAGCAGCAAUUUAAAGGGUCCGGGGCUCUGGCCACCUCUGCUGCCAUGGUAGCAGUGGUGGUGGCUGGGAAUUCCAAGCCCCUUUGAAUAGCUGAGCCAUAGGGAUAGUGAUCUCUUUUCCCACCCUGUUGGUGGGCCUGCAUAUUGUAAUAUUGUGGCAAUGUCAAAUAAAUUGUGUCAUCCUAGAUGUUCUUAAAUGUUUUUCUUACAAAAUUCCUGAUGCAAAUAUUGAUUUGAACACUAAUACUAAUAAUGAUUCUUUGAUCAUCAUCUUCUUCAUUAUUUAGAAAUUCUAGGAGGUACUUUACCCUUUCAAUGUUCCAUAGAAACACAUCCCAUAGAAGAAAAGACAUAGCUGGAUCAGAAAGUGAAAUUUUGAGUAAGUUGGAAAAGAUGAAUGAUCCUGCUUCACGGCUUUCUUUUAGGAAAAGGAAAACCUGUGCAUAGAGAACAUUUGUUGUGAUUUAGUGUCACAAUUAGUUUGGAUAAAAUAUUUAAUCUCACACUCUAUGUCUUAAUAUUUUUUCAGGAUUAUCCCAAUUUUAUGAGAGCAGUCAUGAUCCUACAAAUUUAGGCCUAUAUCUGCAAAGACUUGUAUGUAACUGAAGACCUUCAUGAUGGGAGAGAGAUAAAGUAAAUAGCUAGAAAAAAAUGAAUAGGGAUAGAGACUGAUUUACCACUACACUUUUAGAAAUGGGGCAUGAUUUUAACAACUUUGGCAUGGUAAUGUGGGGAGUCUGGAAGUGCUUUUUGUGCUCUACUUAUUUUACAGAUGAACUGAUAUAUUUAGUCUCUCUUCAAGGCUGUCUGUCUGGCACCUCUAACAAGAACUACGCUCCACCUCCCCCAGCACAUUCAGGUAUAUUAUAUUCUAGGAAAACUGCAAAAAUUGCAGAUAUUCUGUACUUUUUCCUUUCAGUGGCACACUUCCUAAGCAUCUUGUUUCUGCUUAAGAAAGUGUGAAUGCAAAUAUCUAUUUAGGAUCGACUGUGGUUUAAUGCUAUGUAAAAUGCUGUUUAAUUUACAGACGCUAAUAAAAUGCCUAACUGAAUACUAAAAAGUUCAGGUUUUCAUAAUACAAUACAGUAAAACUUUUAAAUUUAUGAUUAAUUUAUAGAUGACAAGAGUAUUAUCCAAGGAUUGGGGUUUGAUUUAAUUAUUUUAUUUAUUGCUUUAAUAUUUUUAUUUAGGAUUAACAGAGUUUAUGAUUAAACAUUAUUGAAAAUUCUGCUGUAAUGUGUUCAUCCUGGCAAAUCCAUAUCAGUGGAUGUGCACAAAGAAUGAAAAGUAGGUGAUAUUUGAUAAAUAUAAGAAGGCUUUAGGGCAUAUUUAUGAAGGAAUAUGUACACUCUUUACUAAAGAAAUAAUCUAUUUAACAGAAUACAGUUCACUGAUAAAAUAACACUGUACUUAAUAGACUAAGUACACUGCAGUAUAAGAGGGAUAGAUCCUGCAAAGUGAUGAAUGUAUCCUGUAAUGGGCUCAAUAUUAUUAACUCCCAAUAAAACUGAUAAAUGCUUAGCAUAUCUCAGGAACUGCUUGUUGCUCUGAACACUGCCUCUGUCCCUAAGUGGACAUGUGCAUCAAAUUACUAUAUAUCUAGUACAUUAUAGCUCAGAAAGUUUAAUAAAAAAAUUCCAGCCAAGCUUCAUAUUUUCUGAAUUUUAGAUUGAGCUGUUGGUGUAAAUCUUACUUUUAUUAUAAUUGUUCUUUACUUCUAUUAAAGUAUUCGGGAGCCCAGGAUGAAUGGCUUUUUAAAAAAAGUUGGUUAUAAAUUGAAAUAAAGACAUUACAUAAUGCUUAGUUACAAUGAAGUGAUGCUAUUCUUGACUGAGGAGUCAUGCUAUUUAGAACUAUUACAGUCACUCACAUAGGGCACGUCUAGACACAGCAGGGCGUAACUUGAAAUAAGCUAUACAAAUUGAGCUACGUCAAUUGUGUAGCUUAUUUUGAAAUAGCUUAUUUUUUAGUUUUGGUGCUGUCUACACAGCGCUUAUUUCGAAAUAGAGAACUCUUCCUUGAAUUCCCUUAGUCCUCAUAAAAUGAGGGUUACAGGAGUCAGAGUAAGAGGUCCUCCAGCUUAAUGGUAUUUUGACAUUAUGUCGAAAUAACUGCUGGCUGUGUAGAUGUGG